GGAUUUAAAAGUAAUCUUUGGAAAGGGUCCUGCGCACAAUCUCUUCCAAAUGACGCUGAUGAAAGCGCACCCAUGUGGAAGAAGAAAUCUAUAUUUUGGGACCUACCCUAUUGGAAAGACCUAGAGGUCCGCUCUGCAAUCGACAUGGUGCACAUGAAGAAGAAUCUUUGCAUGAACAUGCUAGGCUUCUUGGGCGUGUAUGGGAAGACAAAAUAUACACUGGAGGCACGGGAGGACCGACAAUGUAUGCACGAAAAAGACGGCAUGCAUCCAAAGCAGUAUCAGGGUCCUACCAGCUAUGCUCUUACCAAAGAAGAGAAA
rnacentral:rRNA from 1 species